CCUACGGGUGGCAGCAGUGAGGAAUAUUGGUCAAUGGACGAGAGUCUGAACCAGCCAAGUAGCGUGAAGGAUGACUGCCCUAUGGGUUGUAAACUUCUUUUAUAUGGGAAUAAAACGUUCCACGUGUGGGAUUUUGUAUGUCCCAUAUGAAUAAGGAUCGGCUAACUCCGUGCCAGCAGCCGCGGUAAUACGGAGGAUCCGAGCGUUAUCCGGAUUUAUUGGGUUUAAAGGGAGCGUAGGUGGAUUGUUAAGUCAGUUGUGAAAGUUUGUGGCUCAACCGUAAAAUUGCAGUUGAAACUGGCAGUCUUGAGUACAGUAGAGGUGGGCGGAAGGCGUGGUGUAGCGGUGAAAUGCUUAGAUAUCACGAAGAACUCCGAUUGCGAAGGCAGUUCACUGGACUGCAACUGACACUGAGGCUCGAAAGUGUGGGUAUCAAACAGGAUUAGAUACCCGGGUAGUC
rnacentral:rRNA from 1 species